AAUGGGGGAAACCCUGACCCAGCGACGCCGCGUGGAGGAUGACGGCCUUCGGGUUGUAAACUCCUGUCAGGUGGGAAGAAAAGCCAGUCGGAUAAUACCCGGCAGGAAUUGACGGUACCACCAAAGGAAGCCCCGGCUAACUCCGUGCCAGCAGCCGCGGUAAUACGGAGGGGGCAAGCGUUAUUCGGAUUUACUGGGCGUAAAGCGCACGUAGGUGGCAUCGUAAGUCAAAGGUGAAAGCCCUCGGCUCAACCGAGGAAUUGCCUUUGAAACUGCUUUGCUUGAGUCCGGGAGGGGGGAGCGGAAUUCCCAGUGUAGCGGUGAAAUGCGUAGAUACUGGGAGGAACACCGGUGGCGAAGGCGGCUCCCUGGACCGGUACUGACACUGAGGUCGCGAAAGCGUGGGUAGCNAACAGGAUUAAAUACCCUGGUAGUCCACGCCGUAAAACGAUGSGCACUAGGUNCAGCGGGUGUCGACCCCUGCU
rnacentral:rRNA from 1 species